rnacentral:rRNA from 1 species
GGUAUGCAGGAUGACGGGAGCUUGCUCCUUGAUUCACCGGCGGACGGGUGAGUAAUGCCUAGGAAUCUGCCUGGUAGUGGGGGACAACGUUUCGAAAGGAACGCUAAUACCGCAUACGUCCUACGGGAGAAAGCAGGGGACCUUCGGGCCUUGCGCUAUCAGAUGAGCCUAGGUCGGAUUAGCUAGUUGGUGGGGUAAUGGCUCACCAAGGCGACGAUCCGUAACUGGUCUGAGAGGAUGAUCAGUCACACUGGAACUGAGACACGGUCCAGACUCCUACGGGAGGCAGCAGUGGGGAAUAUUGGACAAUGGGCGAAAGCCUGAUCCAGCCAUGCCGCGUGUGUGAAGAAGGUCUUCGGAUUGUAAAGCACUUUAAGUUGGGAGGAAGGGCAGUAAGUUAAUACCUUGCUGUUUUGACGUUACCGACAGAAUAAGCACCGGCUAACUCUGUGCCAGCAGCCGCGGUAAUU